AUUGAACGCUGGCGGCAGGCCUAACACAUGCAAGUCGAGCGGAGCGGCGGACGGGUGAGUAAUGCCUGGGGAUCUGCCUGGUAGUGGGGGAUCACGCCCGGAAACGGGGGUUAAUACCGCAUACUAUCAGAUGAGCCUGGGUCGGAUUUGCUAGUUGGUGGGGUAAAGGCCUACCAAGGCGACGAUCCGUAACUGGGCUGAGAGGAUGAUCAGUCACACUGGAACUGAGACACGGUCCAGACUCCUACGGGAGGCAGCAGUGGGGAAUAUUGGACAAUGGGCGAAAGCCUGAUCCAGCCAUGCCGCGUGAGUGAAGAAGGUCUUCGGAUUGUAAAGCACUGUAGGUUGGGAGGCGGUACCAAAAGAAUAAGCACCGGCUAACUUCGUGCCAGCAGCCGCGGUAAUUC
rnacentral:rRNA from 1 species